UACGAAGGGGGCUAGCGUUGUUCGGAAUUACUGGGCGUAAAGCGCACGUAGGCGGAUAUUUAAGUCAGGGGUGAAAUCCCAGAGCUCAACUCUGGAACUGCCUUUGAUACUGGGUAUCUCGAGUAUGGAAGAGGUGAGUGGAACUCCGAGUGUAGAGGUGAAAUUCGUAGAUAUUCGGAGGAACACCAGUGGCGAAGGCGGCUCACUGGUCCAUUACUGACGCUGAGGUGCGAAAGCGUGGGGAGCAAACAGG
rnacentral:rRNA from 1 species